ACCUGGUUAUAUCCUGAGACAUUACCUGGUUAUAACCUGGUUAUAACCUGAGACAUUACCUGGUUAUAACCUGGUUAUAACCUGGUUAUAUCCUGAGACAUUAC